UACGUAGGGUCCGAGCGUUGUCCGGAAUUAUUGGGCGUAAAGGGCUCGUAGGCGGUUUGUCGCGUCGGGAGUGAAAACACCGGGCUUAACUCGGUGCUUGCUUUCGAUACGGGCAGACUGGAGGUAUGCAGGGGAGAACGGAAUUCCUGGUGUAGCGGUGAAAUGCGCAGAUAUCAGGAGGAACACCGGUGGCGAAGGCGGUUCUCUGGGCAUUUCCUGACGCUGAGGCGCGAAAGCGUGGGGAGCAAACGGG
rnacentral:rRNA from 1 species